GCAACUGCUUCGGUAAUUUGAUUAGAAGGGCGUCUUAGCUGGAAACGGCUAAGAGGAUCACUGGGUGAAUUGCUGGGAACCCCUAAAGCUUUCCUUGCCACAACGUAGCUGGAAACGGCAGGCGUGAUGGCUUGAAAAAAGGAAAGAUGCAACAAUGGGCAACCAGCAGCCAAGCUCCUGUCCCGAAAGGGUGGAGAAGGUUCAACGACUAGGACAUACCACCUAAGGCGAAACGCUAUGGUGAUGAAGUCCGUAGGGGAGGCGAAAUAGCCGAACCGAAGUGCCCAGCCCCUAACAGGUGAAGCUGAGGGUGAAGAGAUAGUCUACACAACGUUCGAAAGACGUUG
rfam:Geobacillus sp. WCH70, complete genome.